rnacentral:rRNA from 2 species
UACGGAGGGGGCUAGCGUUGUUCGGAAUUACUGGGCGUAAAGCGCACGUAGGCGGCGAUUUAAGUCAGAGGUGAAAGCCCGGGGCUCAACCCCGGAAUAGCCUUUGAGACUGGAUUGCUUGAACAUCGGAGAGGUGAGUGGAAUUCCGAGUGUAGAGGUGAAAUUCGUAGAUAUUCGGAAGAACACCAGUGGCGAAGGCGGCUCACUGGACGAUUGUUGACGCUGAGGUGCGAAAGCGUGGGGAGCAAACAGG